UACGUAGGGUGCAAGCGUUGCCCGGAUUUAUUGGGCGUAAAGGGCGCGCAGGCGGCUACGCACGUCCGUUGUGAAAUCGCUCGGCUCAACUGGGCGGGGUCAGCGGAUACGGCGUAGCUGGAGCAAGCUAGGGGGCAAUGGAAUUCCCGGUGUAGUGGUGGAAUGCGUAGAUAUCGGGAAGAACACCCGUGGCGAAGGCGGCUCUCUGGGACGGUACUGGACGGCUGAGACGCGAAAGCGUGGGGAGCGAACAGG
rnacentral:rRNA from 1 species